AUUUAUUUAUUAUAAAAAGUAUAUUUGGCUUCCAACCAAAAGGUCUAACCUUAGAAUAAAU
rnacentral:tRNA from 1 species